rnacentral:tRNA from 1 species
GCCUGGCUGGUUCGGUCGGUAGAGCGUGCGACUCUUGAUCUCAGGGUUGUGAGUUCAAGCCCCACGCUGGGCA